ensembl:lncRNA
AUGAUAACACAACAUAGGCUACCAAGUUCCCAUAAUGCAACACUAACAAUGAUAACGCAACAUAGGCUACCAAGUUCCCAUAAUGCAACACUAACAAUGAUAACACAACAUAGGCUACCAAGUUCCCAUAAUGCAACACUAACAACGAUAACACAACAUAGGCUACCAAGUUCCCAUAAUGCAACACUAACAAUGAUAACGCAACAUAGGCUACCAAGUUCCCAUAAUGCAACACUAACAAUGAUAACACAACAUAGGCUACCAAGUUCCCAUAAUGCAACAAUAACAAUUAUAACACAACAUAGGCUACCAAGUUCCUAUAAUGCAACACUAACAAUGAUAACACAACAUAGGCUACCAAGUUCCCAUAAUGCAACACUAACAAUGAUAACGCAACAUAGGCUACCAAGUUCCCAUAAUGCAACACUAACAAUGAUAACACAACAUAGGCUACCAAGUUCCCAUUAUGCAACACUAACAAUGAUAACACAACAUAGGCUACCAAGUUCCCAUAAUGCAACACUAACAAUGAUAACGCAACAUAGGCUACCAAGUUCCCAUUAUGCAACACUAACAAUGAUAACGCAACAUAGGCUACCAAGUUCCCAUAAUGCAACACUAACAAUGAUAACGCAACAUAGGCUACCAAGUUCCCAUAAUGCAACACUAACAAUGAUAACGCAACAUAGGCUACCAAGUUCCCAUAAUGCAACACUAACAAUGAUAACGCAACAUAGGCUACCAAGUUCCCAUAAUGCAACACUAACAAUGAUAACGCAACAUAGGCUACCAAGUUCCCAUAAUGCAACACUAACAAUGAUAACGCAACAUAGGCUACCAAGUGGAUAUUUUUGCAAAUUUUCACAAUGGAUUUCCCCCAGUGUUUUACCCAAAAGGCUCAGACCUCCUCCAUUGGCUGGCUCCAGUGUCUCACUGGUACAUGGCUACGAUGGUCCUGCUCCGUCUUGGGGCCACGGCCAGGCCUCACCAUGGUCCUGCUCCGUCUUGGGGCCACGGCCAGGCUCCACCAUGGUCCUGCUCCAGUGUCUCACUGGUACAUGGCUACGAUGGUCCUGCUCCGUCUUGGGGCCACGACCAGGCCUCACCAUGGUCCUGCUCCGUCUUGGGGCCACGGCCAGGCUCCACCAUGGUCCUGCUCCAGUGUCUCACUGGUACAUGGCUACGAUGGUCCUGCUCCGUCUUGGGGCCACGACCAGGCCUCACCAUGGUCCUGCUCCGUCUUGGGGCCACGGCCAGGCUCCACCAUGGUCCUGCUCCAGUGUCUCACUGGUACAUGGCUACGAUGGUCCUGCUCCGUCUUGGGGCCACGACCAGGCCUCACCAUGGUCCUGCUCCGUCUUGGGGCCACGGCCAGGCUCCACCAUGGUCCUGCUCCAGUGUCUCACUGGUACAUGGCUACGAUGGUCCUGCUCCGUCUUGGGGCCACGGCCAGGCUCCACCAUGGUCCUGCUCCAGUGUCUCACUGGUACAUGGCUACGAUGGUCCUGCUCCGUCUUGGGGCCACGACCAGGCUCCACCAUGGUCCUGCUCCAGUGUCUCACUGGUACAUGGCUACGGUGGUCCUGCUCCGUCUUGGGGCCACGACCAGGCUCCACCAUGGUCCUGCUCCAGUGUCUCACUGGUACAUGGCUACGGUGGUCCUGCUCCGUCUUGGGGCCACGACCAGGCUCCACCAUGGUCCUGCUCCAGUGUCUCACUGGUACAUGGCUACGGUGGUCCUGCUCCGUCUUGGGGCCACGACCAGGCUCCACCAUGGUCCUGCUCCAGUGUCUCACUGGUACAUGGCUACGGUGGUCCUGCUCCGUCUUGGGGCCACGACCAGGCUCCACCAUGGUCCUGCUCCAGUGUCUCACUGGUACAUGGCUACGGUGGUCCUGCUCCGUCUUGGGGCCACGACCAGGCUCCACCAUGGUCCUGCUCCAGUGUCUCACUGGUACAUGGCUACGGUGGUCCUGCUCCGUCUUGGGGCCACGACCAGGCCUCACCAUGGUCCUGCUCCGUCUUGGGGCCACGGCCAGGCUCCACCAUGGUCCUGCUCCAGUGUCUCACUGGUACAUGGCUACGAUGGUCCUGCUCCGUCUUGGGGCCACGACCAGGCCUCACCAUGGUCCUUUCUCCGUCUUGGGGCCACGGCCAGGCUCCACCAUGGUCCUGCUCCAGUGUCUCACUGGUACAUGGCUACGGUGGUGCUGCUCCGUCUUGGGGCCAUGA